UACGUAGGGUGCAAGCGUUAAUCGGAAUUACUGGGCGUAAAGCGUGCGCAGGCGGUGAUGUAAGACAGGUGUGAAAUCCCCGGGCUUAACCUGGGAACUGCAUUUGUGACUGCAUCGCUGGAGUGCGGCAGAGGGGGAUGGAAUUCCGCGUGUAGCAGUGAAAUGCGUAGAUAUGCGGAGGAACACCGAUGGCGAAGGCAAUCCCCUCGGGCCUGCACUGACGCUCAUGCACGAAAGCGUGGGGAGCAAACAGG
rnacentral:rRNA from 1 species